GCAAGUAUUUCCCUGCAGAGCUUUGUUUUAUUUUUAUGACAAUGUGCCUCUCUGAUGAUGAUUAAAAAGGCAAGUGCAGGUAUUCCCACUUGUACUUUUGUUCUGCCGUGAAUGUACCCUUUUAACUAACACUCUUGAAGUGAUAUAUUUGACUUUCUUUCUGUGCUUUAUAGCAAAUAUUAUGGGGUCAUUGCAACGAGUUGGCAAAGAUAUCUAAGCUGUUGCGGCAACAGUUUAGAUUGUGCUUGUUUUUCGCUGGAAACUGGUCAGAUAUUUUAAGGGUCACUCGUGGUCUGGAGGUUAUAUUUGUUCAAAGAAGGGUUUUGAAAUGAUUAACAGCUGAACUGAUUUUCUGUUUGUGCUGGUAGAAAUACAGUCCGUGUUUGCACAUUCUUAUCGUCAAAACAAACUAAAAGCUGGAAGUGGGGUAUUGUGUGUGCGUGCACGGUUUUCACCAAUGUGCAUUUGCAAGAGUGAUUUUUUUGUUCUCAGACUCCUGAGUGAGGGCAGCUGUAAUAUUAGUCACAGGGUGCACGCAUGUGGUUGUUUAUGAGUCCAAGGUUUAAAGGAAUUAGGUGUUUCUAGGUUAACAUUUCAUUGCUAAAGCAUCCUUGGUGGAACACAAAGAUGGUGGCAAUCCUUUGUGAAGAUCUUUGAGCCUGUACGAAUGACUGGUUGCAUUAAGCCUGCAUUAUUAUGGUUUUAAAUAGGGCAUGAGCUCUUUUGGGAAAAAUACUUAAAAGACGAAAGGAAAGUUUAAAGAAAAUGGAACAUUUUCCAGACUGACAGUCGGUGUUGAAAAAGAGGCAAGCAGCACAGUGAAAACCUUCAAAUGAAACAACAAUUAUAGAUGUCAUUAUACUGCCAAAUAAAGCUGCCAAAUAAAACUGCCAGAUAAAAUGGUAAAAAUGGGCAUUCUUACUCACUUUGCCAACAAAUGAUUAGAUGUCUUUUACCCUGCAGAAAAUAUUUGCCUGAAAUAUGUGGUUCCAUUUACAUGAUGUCAUCAU
ensembl:lncRNA